GAUGAACGCUGGCGGCGUGCCUAAUACAUGCAAGUCGAGCGAACGGACGCUACGCUUGCUUCUCUGAUGUUAGCGGCGGACGGGUGAGUAACACGUGUAUCCCCUCCCUAUCAGACUGGGAUCACUUCGGGACACCGGAGCUAAUACCGGAUAAUAUUUUGCACCGCAUGGUUCAAUAGUGAAUGACGGUCUUGCUGUCACUUCUCGAUGGUUCUGCGCUGCAUUAGCUAGUUGUUACGGUAACGGCGUACCAAGGCAACGAUGCGUAGCCGACCGGAGAGGGGGAUCGGCGACCUGGGAAGUGAGACAGGGACCAGAGGCCUACGGGAGGGAGCAGUAGGGAAUGGGAGGCAAUGGGCGAAAGCCUGACGGAGCAAGGGCGCGUGAGAGAUGAAGGUGUUGGGAGCGUAAAACUGGGUUAUGAGGGAAGAACAGAUGUGUAAGUAAAUGUGCAGAGCGUGACGGUACCGAGUCAGAAAGCAACGGCUAACUACGUG
rnacentral:rRNA from 1 species